rnacentral:rRNA from 1 species
UUUUGGACAAUGGGCGCAAGCCUGAUCCAGCAAUGCCGCGUGCAGGAUGAAGGCCUUCGGGUUGUAAACUGCUUCUGUACGGACCCCCAACGGCGAGCUCUAACACAGUUUGCUAAUGACGGUACCCUGCGAAUAAGCCACGGCUAACUACGUGCCAGCAGCCGCGGUAAUACGUAGGUGGCAAGCGUUGUCCGGAUUUACUGGGCGUAAAGGGCGUGCAGGCGGUUUGUUAAGUUCAGGGUGAAAGCUCCCGGCUCAACUGGGAGAGGCCCUUGGAUACUGGCAGACUUGAGGAGGGUAGAGGAGAGUGGAAUUCCCGGUGUAGUGGUGAUAUGCGUAGAUAUCGGGAGGAACACCAGGGCGAAGGCGGCUCUCUGGGCCCUACCUACGCUAGACGCGAAA